GAUGAACGCUGGCGGCGUGCCUAAUACAUGCAAGUCGAGCGAACGGACGAGAAGCUUGCUUCUCUGAUGUUAGCGGCGGACGGGUGAGUAACACGUGGAUAACCUACCUAUAAGACUGGGAUAACUUCGGGAAACCGGAGCUAAUACCGGAUAAUAUUUUGAACCGCAUGGUUCAAAAGUGAAAGACGGUCUUGCUGUCACUUAUAGAUGGAUCCGCGCUGCAUUAGCUAGUUGGUAAGGUAACGGCUUACCAAGGCAACGAUGCAUAGCCGACCUGAGAGGGUGAUCGGCCACACUGGAACUGAGACACGGUCCAGACUCCUACGGGAGGCAGCAGUAGGGAAUCUUCCGCAAUGGGCGAAAGCCUGACGGAGCAACGCCGCGUGAGUGAUGAAGGUCUUCGGAUCGUAAAACUCUGUUAUUAGGGAAGAACAUAUGUGUAAGUAACUGUGCACAUCUUGACGGUACCUAAUCAGAAAGCCACGGCUAACUACGUGCCAGCAGCCGCGGUAAUACGUAGGUGGCAAGCGUUAUCCGGAAUUAUUGGGCGUAAAGCGCGCGUAGGCGGUUUUUUAAGUCUGAUGUGAAAGCCCACGGCUCAACCGUGGAGGGUCAUUGGAAACUGGAAAACUUGAGUGCAGAAGAGGAAAGUGGAAUUCCAUGUGUAGCGGCGAAAUGCGCAGAGAUAUGGAGGACCACCAGUGGCGAAGGCGACUUUCUGGUCUGUAACUGACGCUGAUGUGCGAAAGCGUGGGGAUCAAACAGGAUUAGAUACCCUGGUAGUCCACGCCGUAAACGAUGAGUGCUAAGUGUUAGGGGGUUUCCGCCCCUUAGUGCUGCAGCUAACGCAUUAAGCACUCCGCCUGGGGAGUACGACCGCAAGGUUGAAACUCAAAGGAAUUGACGGGGACCCGCACAAGCGGUGGAGCAUGUGGUUUAAUUCGAAGCAACGCGAAGAACCUUACCAAAUCUUGACAUCCUUUGACAACUCUAGAGAUAGAGCUUUCCCCUUCGGGGGACAAAGUGACAGGUGGUGCAUGGUUGUCGUCAGCUCGUGUCGUGAGAUGUUGGGUUAAGUCCUGCAACGAGCGCAACCCUUAAGCUUAGUUGCCAUCAUUAAGUUGGGCACUCUAAGUUGACUGCCGGUGACAAACCGGAGGAAGGUGGGGAUGACGUCAAAUCAUCAUGCCCCUUAUGAUUUGGGCUACACACGUGCUACAAUGGACAAUACAAAGGGCAGCGAAACCGUGAGGUCAAGCAAAUCCCAUAAAGUUGUUCUCAGUUCGGAUUGUAGUCUGCAACUCGACUACAUGAAGCUGGAAUCGCUAGUAAUCGUAGAUCAGCAUGCUACGGUGAAUACGUUCCCGGGUCU
rnacentral:rRNA from 1 species